UUAGCUCAACAGCAUAAGCACCUGCCUUGCAAGCGAGUUUGACCCCUGGUACUGAUAAAAAAAUUAAAAUAAAAAUAAAUUUGAACCUUUAAAAGGAAAGACAGAUACUUUAUUUUUGAGAUUUAGAAACACCUUAAAAAGUUAAAAAAUGGGAACGAAUCAGCUUCACAGGCAGUUUGAAUCUUGCAUAAACUUUUUUGGUUCGUGGGUCUUCUCUUUGAGCUUUUGUGUCAUUUUUAGUGAAUACUAGAUCUCUCUGCUAUUUGCUCUGUGAGGCAGAUGCAAGGAGUUACUCAGAUCACCAAAAUGCUCUUAUGAAGAUUCAGACUGCUGGACUCUGACUCCAUCUCACCUGCAGAUCCUUAAAGUUUCUUCUUCUGGUUUCAACUUACUGUGUAUUUAGUGUACAAACAAUAAAACCCAGGGAUCUGAGAGCAAACCGAAGUUCUCCAGAAAAAUCCUAAGAAAACCUCCAGCAUGAGUAGCUACUACCGACGGUUGAGUGAAUUCUCAAGUAAGUAGCAAAUGAUUUCAAAUGUGUGCUGCUUGCAGUGGACCGCUGCCAGGAGAGAAGCGAAAAUAAACUGGUGACAGGAAGUGUCACAGUUCAUGGAAAGGGCAGUGAGGACACAGCGGAGUAAGCCCGGGACACCUCUGGGUCCACAUGCUGAAAAACUUCCCCAGACAGGCUGCACAGCCACAAAUCUCCCAGUAAUUCAUUAAGUAGGGGGAAACGCUCCCAGAAACAUUUCUCUCUUUUCCUAACACCCUUUGUCUCUUAAUUUCCAAACUCUGAGUUCAUUCCUAUGUCAAGUAAGCCUGGCUGAGUCUCUCUAAACAACUCCUUCUCUAAGUGAUUUAACAGCCCGAGGUUUCCAAGCGUUGGGAUCACAAGAUGGAUAUAUGAUCAGUGAGAACUAGAAAGAGCAUCAAAACAGCAUGAAGAAUGGUGGAAACCAAAGUGAAUCAUGUGGAACUUUGCCCAGUAAAGGGAUUACAAGGCUUGGAAGGAGCAUUUCAAGGAUAAAAUAUUAUAUUAAAAGUUAGUCAUAAGAUAAAAUGACAUAGUCAAGGUUAAUCAUAUCAGUAAAUGUAAAUGAAUUUAAUUUACACUUAUUACUAAAAAAGGAUUCACCAAAAAAGAUUUGCAAAUGGCUAACAGCAAAAUUCAACACUCCUUUUUACAUAAGAAACACUUCUAAAACAGGAGAUUCUGAAAGGUUAAAAAUAAAGCAGUAGACAGCUAUCAAGCUAAUUUCAAACUAAGUUUUAAGAGUUGCAAUUUUGAUGUUUAAACAGAUGAAACUCAAACCAAAAAGCACUAAAUAAGACAAAGAAGGAGACUUUAGAACGUGAAAGGCCAUAAGUCACAAUGAAGGUAAACCUGUUAUUAGUGUUUAUGCAAAAAACAACUGGGAACAUAAGAAAAACAGAAAACCAUUAGUAAUAAGAGAUUUUAAUGGAUCUCUCUGAAGACUGAUCAAGUGUGCAGGAAGGACACAGAAAGCCAAAGUCAUAACCAACAAGGUGGAUCCUACACAUCUACAGAGAAAUCUGAAUCUCAUAGUAGAGAAAACACUUUUUUUUUCAAAUGACUACAUCUUCAGCCACAAAGAAAACUUCAAUAAAUUCUAAAGAAUUGAAGAAUAUUUUCUGAUCAUAAUGUAAUAAAACUAAUAAUUUUUAAUAAAAUAAAAAAGGAUAUCAUCUCUGAAAAUUUUCAAAAUAAGUUAAAAAACAGUUCUUAAGAAUUAGAAGUGCAAUAUACAGAAUUUUGUGAAAAUAACAAUAAAUGACAAGUAAGUCUACACUAUUCAGCUAAAGUAAUUAAUAGAGAAAAAUAUUCAAUGUUAAAUAUCUAUGUCAAUAAAACUAAAGACAAAUGAACUCUACCUUCUAUUCAGAAAGCAAGAUCCUGAAAGCUUCUUUCUUCAGUAAGCUAAAGGAAUUUAGUAGGAAUUAAUUAUAAAGAUGGAAGCAAAAAUAAUAAAUUAGUUAACCGAACUAGUAAUUAACCUGAAACAAUCGACUGAAACAAUCAAAAAAGUACACAAAUAACCAUCAGGAAAAUACAGGGGAGAAAAUACAGACACACAGAAUUAGGAACACUGGCCACUGGUGAGUGAAACCAAAGCAGAGGAACUAAAAUAAAAACAUAAGAGACUGUUUUUCUCAACUCUACACAAAACUAUUUGAAAACCUAGAUGAAGAGGAUAGUUUUCUACAAUAAUACAGCCUACCAAAAUUGGUCUUAGUAGAGACUCAGUUCUAAAAGACCAAUUAUCACAGAAGAAAUAAAGUUAAGCAAAAACUCCCUCACACAAAAAAGCACUGGCUCAAAAGGUUUCAUGGGAGGAAAUGCUAUCAAAUCUUUAAGGAUCAAGUGGUCUCAGUGUUGUUUAAUCAUUGAAGAAGAAGCGAAGAGAAAGGAGUAAAGCUUUAGAUAAUGCGAGCAUUAACAAGAAGAGCAACUGCAACGACAAAUGUAAAUAUGUUUAUACUGAGUUAGUGUAAAUCCCGGCUGGUAACGCUACCAAAACAAAACAACAAAAUUCACAGGUCAUCUCUAGAAAAUAUCAAGGAUUAUUAUUUUGGUUUUAUUUUAAUGGUUCUGGAGAUGAACCCAGGGCCUUGUACAAGUCAGGCGAGCAAUUACUCCUGAGCCAUGUACUCCCAGUCUGGAAUCUGUAUUUUGAAACCUGGACACAAAGAGUCAAGCAUUCGUACUGGUUUUCCCACAUGAGUUACAUGUCAUGAUAAAGAUGCAUAUCCCUUUGUAGAAAAUUUUAGCUAAUAAAUGAAAAGUUCUAAUAGGUAUAGAAUAUCACUUUUUAAACCCUAACAAAAUCUGUGGGUCUGCUAUAAUCAUUGAAGAGGGCUUACUUCUCAAACAGAGGACAAGAGACAGACAUCAUGUGUUUCCCAGUGGAAGUCUAUCAUACCAUCCAUCAUAUAUUCUUGGCACAAAAUCAAACUUGAAUAUGACCAAGUCUCUAGAACUACUGAUUUACAAGAAAUACAGUUCAGAGGAAAAUGCUAAAUAAUACCAGAGGUAUGCAAUCAGCGAAAUCCAGAGUACGGAAACUCUGUAGGACAAAUGAACCGGCCUCCUAAACAAAUGGAUUUGCUGGGAAAGAAGAGAUGGAGGGGAAAUCUAUACAUUAAAAGAAAUUUAAGAAACUUUAGCCAACCCAACAUGUGCAUGCAAUUUGGAUCCUGACUCAAACAAAUUGUAACAUUUAUGUGAUACCUAGGGGAAAUUUGGCUGCUGGUAAUAUGAUGAUAUUAAAUAUUUAUUGUUAAUUUUUAAA